GAGCAUUCCUGUCACAGACCUUCAAUCAACAUCUCCUUAUGAAUCCAUCGUUGUGUCUUCAAAUGAACAGAGGAAGAAAGAUAAACACAUCAGCUGAAGAUGGACAACUGUUCCAGGAUAUGCUGUAAUCUUACUGCCCCAGGGUUCGAACAAAACAGAUGUUCAUUUCCAUGGCAUCUGGACAGCUGGCAGAAAAAGGCAGCAAUCAGUAGAACUCACUAAAUCCUGUGAGGUAAAAGAUGAUCUCUCUGGGAACAACUGAAGUGGAGAACAACAUGCAGCUCACAUCUCUUCAUUCUUUACUGGAGAUUAGUAUUGUGGUAAUUGUGCUGUUCCCAUUGGAAGCAUAAAGGAGUUAUAAAGCUGUAACUGCUUGCUCUUUUCCUUCAAACUUGGUUUCACAAGGUUGAACACAAUCCAAAUGGGAUGCCUUAUAAAGCAUUCUAGUGCUUUUUUUGCACCUCUUCAUGCCUCCAAUGCAGACUUCUUGGGAUGUAAGGAUUUUUUUUUUUUUUUUUUGAGGUCUCUUCUCCUGUUUUGUUUAUGUUUGCAAGUGUCAACUGAACAUGAAGUACACCAAUUCAUUCAAAACCAAACUCUAUUACAUCUAUAAUUCCAAGAGAGCAAACAAGGUCAGUAUCCUCCCUGUCUGGUCUCUGGGAUGCUCCUGCAAACAUACUGGUUGGUAUCUUAGGAAUACUUGGCUCACAAUGUGCUCACCAAAGCUCUCACUGAUGGCGUGGCAGGAAAUGACACAUCCUUCCUGGUCUUGUAAAUCCUACUUCAAUAAGCAGAGCUCAAAUUGCUGUUUUCAUAUGACACAUCUGGGCUCUCCUAAAUGUUCAUGACAGCAAGGUUCUAAUCCAUUGUCUCCUUGUAUGGCAGUACCAGCCUGCUACUCAGGAUGACUGUCAUCUCCACCAUCCAAAGCACCACAUUGCACUCUCACUAUGGCAACGCUGGUCAUGGGAUUUAUAGCAGAUGCUGACUGAUGUAAUGAGCAAGCCCACAACACCUGUAGCCUGUGUCAUUCACAUCUACUGACACUGCUGCGGCAUCCAGCUUGGCAGGACAGUGCCAUCUCUCCCAGUGGGCUCCAACCCCAGAACUGCAGUCUGGUUAGAAAAGUGUGUGUUGUAAGAUAUAGGGCAAGGAAGGCAAGAGAUCAUGGCUGAGUUGAGACCUGCUGGUCAAAUUAAAGGGCAGGAAGGAAAUUCACAGGCAGUGGAAGAAGGGACAUAUAUCCUGGGAAGAGUAUACGGAUGUUGUCUGAUUGUGUAGGGUUGGGGUCAGGAAGGCCAAGGUGCUGGAGCUGAACUUGGCAAGGGAUGCAAAGAAUAACAAACAUUUCUAGCCAGGAAAGGAAGAGGAUGCAGGGGUUGAGAGGAGCCCUGAAGAGAAGGACUUGGGAGUGCUGGUGGGUUAGAGGCUGGA